GACGAACGCUGGCGGCGUGCUUAACGCAUGCAAGUCGAACGGAAAGGCCCUGCUUUUGUGGGGUGCUCGAGUGGCGAACGGGUGAGUAACACGUGAGUAACCUGCCCUUGACUUUGGGAUAACUUCAGGAAACUGGGGCUAAUACCGGAUAGGAGCUCCCGCUGCAUGGUGGGGGUUGGAAAGUUUCGGCGGUUGGGGAUGGACUCGCGGCUUAUCAGCUUGUUGGUGGGGUAGUGGCUUACCAAGGCUUUGACGGGUAGCCGGCCUGAGAGGGUGACCGGCCACAUUGGGACUGAGAUACGGCCCAGACUCCUACGGGAGGCAGCAGUGGGGAAUAUUGCACAAUGGGCGGAAGCCUGAUGCAGCAACGCCGCGUGCGGGAUGACGGCCUUCGGGUUGUAAACCGCUUUCGCCUGUGACGAAGCGUGAGUGACGGUAAUGGGUAAAGAAGCACCGGCUAACUACGUG
rnacentral:rRNA from 1 species